CACUCUAAGGUGACUGCCGGUGACAAACCGGAGGAAGGUGGGGAUGACGUCAAAUCAUCAUGCCCCUUAUGACCUGGGCUACACACGUGCUACAAUGGAUGGUACAAAGGGCUGCAAGACCGCGAGGUCAAGCCAAUCCCAUAAAACCAUUCUCAGUUCGGAUUGUAGGCUGCAACUCGCCUACAUGAAGCUGGAAUCGCUAGUAAUCGCGGAUCAGCAUGCCGCGGUGAAUACGUUCCCGGGCCUUGUACACACCGCCCGUCACACCACGAGAGUUUGUAACACCCGAAGUCGGUGGAGUAACCGUAAGGAGCUAGCCGCCUAAGGUGGGACAGAUGAUUGGGGUGAAGUCGUAACAAGGUAGCCGUAUCGGAAGGUGCGGCUGGAUCACCUCCUUU
rnacentral:rRNA from 1 species